UCAGGGGGCCGGGCAGCCGCGUUGUUGCAAAACACCGAGGAAAGUCCGGGCUCCACGAAACAAGGGUGGCGGGUAACGCCCGCCGGGCUGGGGAUUAACGUCCCCGGUCAAGGGAAAGUGCCACAGAGAGCAGACCGCCUCGGCUUCAAACCGAGGUAAGGGUGAAAGGGUGCGGUAAGAGCGCACCGCGCGACCGGCAACGGAAGCGGCAUGGCAAACCCCACUCGGAGCAAGAUCGAAUAGGGACUGCGCGUUCGCAAGAACAGGCUUGUUUCGGGCCAGCAGUCCGGGUUGAUUGCUUGAGCGUUCCGGCAACGGUCCGCCUAGAGGAAUGGCUGCCAGUGCCGAUACGGUCCACCAGUGGGAUACCGUCGGCGCUACAGAACCCGGCUUACAGGCCCCCUGACACU
rnacentral:RNase_P_RNA from 2 species